rnacentral:ncRNA from 1 species
GGCUCCUUCGGGGUCCGAGUUGUAAUUUGUAGAGGAUGUUUCGGGUGUGGCUCCGGUCUAAGUUCCUUGGAACAGGACGUCAUAGAGGGUGAGAAUCCCGUAUGUGACUGGAAGCCUUCGUCCAUGUGAAACUCCUUCGACGAGUCGAGUUGUUUGGGAAUGCAGCUCAAAAUGGGUGGUAAAUUUCAUCUAAAGCUAAAUACUGGCCAGAGACCGAUAGCGCACAAGUAGAGUGAUCGAAAGAUGAAAAGCACUUUGGAAAGAGAGUUAAAAAGUACGUGAAAUUGUUGAAAGGGAAGCGCUUGCAACCAGACUUGCUCGCGGUUGCUCAGCCGGUGUUCUCACCGGUGCACUCUUCCGCGAUCAGGCCAGCAUCGGUUUGGGCGGCUGGAUAAAGGCUUCGGGAAUGUGGCUCCUCUCGGGGAGUGUUAUAGCCCGAGGUGCAAUGCAGCCCGCCCGGAUCGAGGACCGCGCUUCGGCUAGGAUGCUGGCGUAAUGGUUGUAAGCGACCCGUCUUGAAACACGGACCAAGGAGUCUAACAUCUAUGCGAGUGUUUGGGUGUCAAACCCAUGCGCGUAAUGAAAGUGAACGGAGGUGGGAACCCUUAAGGGUGCACCAUCGACCGAUCCUGAUGUCUUCGGAUGGAUUUGAGUAAGAGCAUAGCUGUUGGGACCCGAAAGAUGGUGAACUAUGCCUGAAUAGGGUGAAGCCAGAGGAAACUCUGGUGGAGGCUCGCAGCGGUUCUGACGUGCAAAUCGAUCGUCAAAUUUGGGUAUAGGGGCGAAAGACUAAUCGAACCAUUAACUACUAGGUGGUUAAGAGGCCGCUGAAAGGGCGUGCCUAGUCCUGCUCUCCGGGGCGACAUUGUCAAAUUGCGGGGACGUCCUAAAGGCGCUGCUACCAAGCGGGCGUGGAAACACGGUCCGUGGCCGGGGUAAUGACCCAGGGUAUGGUAAAAACGCAGCGCAUGAUCCCGCUCGUGGGUGAAAUGGAUAAUCCGCAGCCAAGUCCUACGUCUCGCCUCGGCGAGAUAGGGAUGCUGUUCACAGACUACAUGGCGAUGGGUUCCCUUCUCGAAGAAGAGGGGGGCUUAAGAUAUAGUCGGGCCGCCC